GACGAACGCUGGCGGCGUGCUUAACACAUGCAAGUCGACCGGACUGGCGAACGGGUGAGUAACACAUGGGUGACCUGCCCUGAACUUCGGGAUAAGCCUCGGAAACUGGGUCUAAUAACAGAUAGUGUGGGAUGGGCCCGGGGCCUAUCAGCUGUGUGGUGGGGUAGUGGCCUACCAAGGCGGCGACGGGUAGCCGGCCUGCGGGGGGGGACGGCCACAUUGGGACUGAGACACGGACCAGGCUCCUACGGGAGGCAGCAGUGGGGAAUAUUGCACAGUGGGCGGAAGCCUGAUGCAGCGACGCCGCGUGGGGGAGGACGGCCUUCGUGUUGUAAACUCCUGUCACCAUCGACGCGGUAGAUGGAGAAGAAGCACCGGCUAACUACGUGCCAGCAGCCGCGGUAAUUC
rnacentral:rRNA from 1 species